rnacentral:rRNA from 1 species
UAUAUGAUAUCUUAUUUUUAUAUUUUGUAUGUUAUUUAUUAAUAGAAAAAUAUUUUUAUAUUAUUUAAUUUUUAGUAAUAAUUAAUGAAAUUUUGAUUUGGUUGAUAGUAAAUAGUAUUGUAUAAGAAAGUGUUUGAAAAAUUUAAUUAUAAAAGAAGGGAUAGUAUGUACCUUUUGUAUCAGGGGUAAUUAAAAUUUUUUAUUAAAAGUAAUAGUCUCGAAAAGAAAAGAUCUAAUUUAUAUUGCUUGUUAAUGUAUCAAUAUUAUUUAUAAAUAUAAGUUAGUUGUGAUAUGUUUUUCGUGUUUCUUGAUAUCUAGUUAUUAAAGAAAGGAAUUUAAUUCUGAUAUUUAUUAUUUAUAAUGAGUAAGUAAUUAUAAGGGGGAAAGCUCUUUAUAAGUAUAAUUUAAUAUAAUUUAAAUCUAUAAGUUUUUAAAAAUAGGCUUGAAAUCUGCCAGUAAAGAAUACGUUAUAGUUUAUAUAAGUGUGAUGAAUAUUAUUUAUAAAUAAAUUUAUUAAUAAUAUUUAAUAAAAAAGUGAAUUUUGAAAUUUUUGUUAAAAUGAUUAUAUUAGUAAAUUAAGGUGUUAUUAUAAAGUAAAAUAGAUUUGAAAAGAAAUUUUAGUUUGUGAAUGAUAUAAAUAAGGAACUCGGCAAAUUUUAUUUUCACCUGUUUAACAAAAACAUGUCCGUAUGAAUUUAAUAUAAGGUCUAGCCUGCCCAUUGAAUAUUUGAAAGGCGCGCGGUAAUUUGACCGUGCAAAGGUAGCAUAAUCAUUAGUUUUUUAAUUGAAAGCUUGUAUGAAAGGUUGAAUGAAAAAUAAACUGUCUUAUUGAUAAAAAUUGAAUUUAACUUUUAAGUGAAAAGGCUUAAAUAUUAGAAAGGGACGAUAAGACCCUAUAAAACUUUAUAUAAAUUAGAUUUUUUAUUAUAAUUGUUUGUUUAGUAAGAAAUAAUUUAUUAGUAUUUUAUUGGGGCGAUAGGAAUAUAUAAGUAACUGUUCUUUUUAAUAACAAAUAUUGUUGAUUGGAAAGAUCCUUAAUAGAGAUUAUAAGACAAAGUUACUUUAGGGAUAACAGCGUAAUUUUUUUUAAGAGUUCAUAUCGACAAAAAAGAUUGCGACCUCGAUGUUGAAUUAAAAUUUCUUUAUGGUGCAGAAGCUGUAAAAGAAAGUCUGUUCGACUUUUAAAAUUUUACAUGAUUUGAGUUCAGACCGGCGUGAGCCAGGUUGGUUUCUAUCUUUUGUGAUAUUUAGAAAUACCUUAGUACGAAAGGAUCAGGUAUUUGAAACACUUUUGUAAGUUAGAAUAUUUAUAAAAUUAUUUUAUUUAGUAAAAUAUUAUGUGUUUUGUAAAGAU